rnacentral:rRNA from 1 species
UCGAUGAAGAACGCAGCGAAAUGCGAUAAGUAAUGUGAAUUGCAGAAUUCAGUGAAUCAUCGAAUCUUUGAACGCACAUUGCGCCCUUUGGCAUUCCGAAGGGCAUACCUGUUCGAGCGUCAUUACACCCCUCAAAGAUGACUCUUUGGCGUUGGGCAAUGCCUAAAGGCAUGCCUCAAAAUCAGCGAUGGUGAUAUUCAACCACAGGCGCACACACGUCGUCUAGCUGGCGGGAUGUUGACAGUCAAUUGAUGAAUUUCUAAAUGUUGACCUCGGAUCAGGUAGGAAUACCCGCUGAACUUAA